rnacentral:misc_RNA from 1 species
AUAGAGCUUCCAGACAUAUGAUCAUCCCUCAGUUUGAAGUUUGCCGGAGGCGCUGGUAUGGAGCUAUGAAUAGCUUGAUCUUGCUCAUGGAACAACUCGCUUUCAUUGAAGCCAUAAUCAGAAGGAUGACUCUGUGAGAAUCCCAUUCUUGACUUCCUCAAGUCUUCUGAUGUCCGAUUGGCAAGAUCUCGCCCAUCUUCUGUAUCAUCAUCUCCCUCAGAAGUCGUCGCAGAAAUCCAGUCAACCAAACUCUCGGUCCCACGACUUUUCCUUCCAAACUUUAACAACCGUUUAAACCCUUUUGUCACAUCCUUGCGUGACUGAUUAUGGGACGAAUUAGCAACUAGAACAGGUUUCUGAGCACUUCCCCACUUCUUCCUCAUUCGAGCAGCAUCAGCCUCUGUUUGGGCAAGAGAGUGAGAAUUCCAGGAUGCAGGGCUUCCAAUUGGAGAUUCCACAGAAGCAUCAAUAUCUGAGAUCUCAUGCGGGUAGGAAAAUGGAUUAUGCAUGUGGGAGUUCCAUGACACUGGGCUUUCCCCAGGUGAGUCCUGUAAGGACCCCACGACAUGGAAUGUUGAAGGAACGGAAGCCGGCAGUUCAGUAACUGAAGAAGGAUCAAUUUGAGAAAUUUGAGAAAGAGAUCUCAAAGAAUCACCAUUCUCAGAUUCAGAAAUCUUAUCAGAUUCCUGGCUUAACCCUGUUUUACCAUUUUCAGUGUUAGCACAAUCUUCAAACUCUGUUGUUUCUAGAUCCUCCUCCUCUUCCUCUUCUUCUUUUGCUACAUUGACCGAAUCUUCUGCCUCAAAAGGUGAUUCUUCAUAUUCUUCUUCGUUUUUCAAAGCCUCUGAUGCCACCGAAGCUUUCAGUUUGGCAAUACUAGUACCAGCACCAGGACCUAUGCCAUUACCCUUCCGAAGGAAAGGCUUCGACUCCACAUUCUUUGAAAAUUUUUCAUACAGGCCCUGCUCAGUUUGCUCUUUAUCGAACUUCAACGGUGACAAAACAAUAUCAUCGGAGUUCAAACGAGGCAAAUCCCUGAAUUCAGUAGGACUAGCAGAGCUUUUCCUCAAGGACUGAGAACG